rnacentral:rRNA from 1 species
AACGAACGCUGGCGGCAGGCUUAACACAUGCAAGUCGAACGCCCCGCAAGGGGAGUGGCAGACGGGUGAGUAACGCGUGGGAAUCUACCCAGUUCUUCGGAAUAACACAGGGAAACUUGUGCUAAUACCGGAUACGCCCUACGGGGGAAAGAUUUAUCGGAAUUGGAUGAGCCCGCGUAAGAUUAGCUAGUUGGUGAGGUAACGGCUCACCAAGGCGACGAUCUUUAGCUGGUCUGAGAGGAUGAUCAGCCACACUGGGACUGAGACACGGCCCAGACUCCUACGGGAGGCAGCAGUGGGGAAUAUUGGACAAUGGGCGCAAGCCUGAUCCAGCCAUGCCGCGUGAGUGAUGAAGGCCUUAGGGUUGUAAAGCUCUUUCAGUAGGGAAGAUAAUGACGGUACCUACAGAAGAAGCCCCGGCUAACUUCGUGCCAGCAGCCGCCGUAACAC